rnacentral:rRNA from 1 species
GACGAACGCUGGCGGCGUGCUUAACACAUGCAAGUCGAACGGAAAGGCCCUGCUUGCAGGGUACUCGAGUGGCGAACGGGUGAGUAACACGUGGGUGAUCUGCCCUGCACUUCGGGAUAAGCCUGGGAAACUGGGUCUAAUACCGGAUAGGAGCCAUUUUUAGUGUGAUGGUUGGAAAGUUUUUUCGGUGUAGGAUGAGCUCGCGGCCUAUCAGCUUGUUGGGGGGGUAAUGGCCUACCAAGGCGGCGACGGGUAGCCGGCCUGAGAGGGUGGACGGCCACAUUGGGACUGAAGUACGGCCCAGACUCCUACGGGAGGCAGCAGUGGGGAAUAUUGCACAAUGGGCGCAAGCCUGAUGCAGCGACGCCGCGUGGGGGAUGAAGGCCUUCGGGUUGUAAACUCCUUUCGCUAGGGACGAAGCUUUUUGUGACGGUACCUAGAUAAGAAGCACCGGCUAACUACGUG